CUGCAGGACUGUGCUCCACCACCUCUCGCUCACAUGGUCCCGCACAGCUCACGCCACCACCAUCAGCCCAACUGCUCGUAAUCCGGCUGCUGGAACGAAGUGGCAGAUGGAAGAGAAACUCCCGGAGGCCCCAAAGUGAGUGCUUGGGCUGGCCAUUGGACACUUCCACGGGAAGAAACUGAAGCAUCUGAGAUGAGUGGCAAAUAUUCCCUCCUGCUCUGCCUUCUUUGCUGGUGGCUGGCAGAAGGACAAGAUGAACACCAGAAGUGACUCCGCUUGCAGUCCCUCAGCCUUGGGGUGCAGGCUGCCUGCUGCUGGUCAUCUGGGAAGGGUUCAUUGCCAGCCCUCUAGCUGGUCCUCUGAGGCCUGGACC
rnacentral:lncRNA from 1 species